AUAUUACUGCUGUUUGUCUCUCUUGAGCCACCGUAACUGCAUCGCUUUAACACUUCAUCAAAAUAGUGUGAAUUAAUCGAAGAUAAAUCAUAUACAGUAUAUAACAUUUUACGUUUUUUUUUCCCGAGGUCUUAGUUGCGCAAUUUGACAUCUAACCAAGAUGUUUGGUGCAGUAUUUCUCAAGUGACAAAAUGUGCAUGAAAACUAGUCGUCUCUCAUUGAAUGACAACAAACUCUUUGUUGAAGACUCCUUCCCCUAAUUCUCACUUCUACUAGGAGUAGUACUGCUAACCAAUCUCUUAUGAAGAGGCGGUAGACUCAAGAAAACUUGCCUCAAGAAAAACAGACGGGUGCAACUUUGCUUAACUGAGCUCAAGGCUAGAAAUCAACACAUCUGAAGAAAUAUAAAUGAAAAUGAAAGAUGCCAUCUCUUCUAGAAAGAGCCCAGAUGUUACAUCAUCCCGACAACCCUCAGAUUUGACCACUUUCCAGAAAUGAGCUGGAUUUCCACCACUCUCAGCUACACAAUUCAAGAAGUAAGUUGACUUUGCUUUUCUAUCCAGAGGAAGACAUCUAUCUAAUAAUAGCGCCGGAGGGUAUGACUAAUUGUGCUAUUCUGUGUGUAUUUUUGUGCUGUUUGUAACUUUUGUUGUACAUAAUGUAUCUGCCACCGUCUCUGUUCUCCGGUAGGCUGUCGUUGUAAAUAAGAAUUUGUUCUUAACUGACUUGCCUAGUUAAAUAAUAAUAAUAAUAAUAAUGACUGAAAAUAGCUUCUUUUUUUAUGAAUCGGAGGCGAAAGAUUUACGGCUCCUCCUGGACCAGGCCCAAAUCCCUGUCAUUCACAUGAAGAGGAGACGCCGAUACAGGGGGCGCAGAUCCUGGUGCUUGGUGAGAAUUUGUCAGCGAGUGGAUAAUCCGCCUUUACCAUCCAUCCUACUGGCAAAUUUGCAAUCACUUGAGAAUAAACUGGAUGAGCUCCGUUCGGGACUAUCCUACCAACGGGGCCUUAAAAACUGUAAUAUCUUAUGAUUCACCGACAUGGAUAAUAUACAGUUGGCUGGCUUUUCUGUGCAUUGGCAAGAACAUCAACCUCUGGUAAGACAAAGGGUGGCAUCAGAUGCAUGCUUAGUCCCCUCUUAUACUCCCUGUUCACCCAAGAUGGCCACGCACGACUCCAACACCAUCAUUAAGUUUGCCGAUGACACAACAGUGG